GACAACCCUCUGGCUACAGGGAUUUUAUCCUCACAGGCACCUUUUGCCUCGAUGCCCACCAGGCUCUGGGGUGACCCCGUACCUUGAGCUGUUGUCCGCAACAUGUGUGGCAAACCAGUGCCAUGCCUUAACUGAAGCCCUGCCUUCAACAGACCUCGUGUGCCCUCCGAGGAAUGGGGUGACCACAACAAAACCCAACCCUACUCCUAGGCCAUUAGACCCCUGUGGUAUAAUUAGAGGUGCCGAAGAUCUGGCAUGCUGAAUGGCUCGGUGAUAGACGAGGUCCAGCAGAUGUUGGAGAGAAUUAAUGCGUUUAGCCGGUGAGUUAGAAAAUGGAAGAAUGGAGAAGGGCAAAAAAUAAACAAAAUCCUAUCACAUGGCUCUUCUUAGCUUCUGCUUGGGCCCCUGAACGCUUCCCAAGCAGCAGGAGCACGACUUGGCUGUAAGGCUGCAUUAUGUAAGAGCAAUUUCUUUGUUCCCUCCCACUUCAAGAUUUAGCACCGGGGAAGGAAAAAAAACCAAACCAAACCAAACCAAAACAACAAAACCCACCUCCUAUGUGCAAAUGUAGAGAGGGGAGCAAACGUUAAGAGGAUGCUGAAUCCCUUUGAGCUAUUAAUGGAGAAUUGCAUAACAGCUGCCGCGGGGUUGCUAGGUUUUACCACGUCCCUGAGCGGUGUUUAAUAUUAACGGGACUCGUACUCGGGGUGGGAUCGCGGUGAGCCUGGAUACGGCCCUGCCGACGGCAAAGCCGCUCGCAGGGUUUCCAUGGAGCUGUGAGCAGUGCUCCCUUGGUCCUCAGUGAAGUCCUCCCCGUGCCCUGCCAAAGCCAGCUCCCCCAGCGAGGCGGGCACAAGCGCAGCCGAGCGGCGCUCCGCUCUUUGCUGCUCGCCUGAUGGAUGUGCGGGGGUGUGCCCGCUUCGUCUGAAAAAAAGCAGGGUUUUAGAAAUUAUGCCUAUUUUCUCUUGCCUGGCAGCUCUGCGGAGCUGCGUGGUGCUUUUAACCCUCGUGUCCCCAGCUCCGUGACAGACGCCCACGCUGCUCCGCAACAACCAAAUGAAACAUCUCCCAAACUGGGGUCUGCCUCCAUUUCCCCCAGUAACCCAGCAAAUACAUUUCGGCUUCAAAUCUGGAGCAUUUUGAUGGAACUAGCAGUGCGCACUUUUGACACCUUGGCUCUAUGGGACCAGUUUGCAUCUGUGCUGGGUGCUGGGGUGCUCUGCUUGUCCUUGCCCCUUGCAGAAGGGCACACGAGACGCCAGAGAUCCUGUAUAUUCAGUAUGCACAUACACCACGUUGAAGGAAAUGAGCUUCUAGCAAUGGGAAUCUGCACAAGAAGGACGUGGAGGAUGGGGGCGGCCCAGCCUCGCAGGGUGAAAUUUGCAGUUGUGUGGAAGGGACCCGAUGCCCUCCAGGCCCAUGCUCACCCUUCCCAUUACAAAUAUACCCUGUUGGUGUACAGAAUGGCUCGGAAGCAGGCACAAAAUUCCUUGGUUUUGUUUGUUUGUUUGUUUAUAUUUUUAACAGACCUUUGGGAAGAGCUCAGCAUGCCUACAUGGGUCUGGCCUGCACCCUGCCCAGUGCAAACCCAUGGCCCCUGAGGGCACGAGGCUUUGGGGGUGGCUCUGGGCCACUGCUACCUCCAGCCUGGUUGGUGGCACCUGGGAUAGAUGUCUCUGACCUGCUUGCCCUGUCCUCAGGGCACAGAUGACCAUCUUCAGUGAUGCCUUAAUAAACACCUGAAUUAAUAAACCA
rnacentral:lncRNA from 1 species